GACGAAGGGGGCUAGCGUUGUUCGGAAUUACUGGGCGUAAAGCGCGUGUAGGCGGUUGUCCAAGUUGGAUGUGAAAGCCUUGAGCUUAACUCAAGAAAUGCAUUCAGGACUGGAUGACUAGAGGACCGGAGAGGAUAGUGGAAUUCCCAGUGUAGUGGUGAAAUACGUAGAGAUUGGGAAGAACACCAGUGGCGAAGGCGGCUCUCUGGGACGGUACUGGACGCUGAGACGCGAAAGCGUGGGGAGCGAACAGG
rnacentral:rRNA from 1 species